rnacentral:sRNA from 16 species
CCGCUGCCUACCUCGACGGAGGGAAAAGCCAGAUACCUUUGCUGGCCUGACAGUGGCUUCUUUGAAAGG